rnacentral:rRNA from 1 species
UACGGGGGGGGCAAGCGUUGUUCGGAAUUACUGGGCGUAAAGGGCUCGUAGGCGGCCAACUAAGUCAGACGUGAAAUCCCUCGGCUUAACCGGGGAACUGCGUCUGAUACUGGAUGGCUAGAGUUUGGGAGAGGGAUGCGGAAUUCCAGGUGUAGCGGUGAAAUGCGUAGAUAUCUGGAGGAACACCGGUGGCGAAGGCGGCAUCCUGGACCGAGAUUGACGCUGAGGCGCGAAGGCCAGGGGAGCAAACGGG